GUCGUAGAUGUAAAAUUACCUCUAAACCAUCCUGACUGAGGAGACUCUUACAGUGAGAAGAAGAGAUGUUAGGCUGUAACAAUAGGAGACCUCAUCUGCAAUGCAAAUCAGCAACCAGCAGGCAAAUGAAUCCUUAUGGGAAAACCACUCUAAUCAUAAAAACCACUUGCUUUGGGGAGACUGCAAUGUAAGGACAAGCAAAAUCAUAGCUCCAUGAAUCCCCUCUAAUAUAGGAUAUUAGAGAAUUAUCCAGAAUACUGAACAAAUAGAACAACUUUUCAUGAAAAUAGACUAUGAAUCAAUGGGCAGAAUUCAAUGGGAUGGCUUCUGCACGUAUUUGCAGCUAGAGUAUUCAGAGCAAGUGGAUGCUUUGGCCCAAGAGAAAGAGGUUUCCUUCCAGCUGCCUGCUGCGCUGCAAGGGCUGUCAUAUGGGGGUCCCGUGCUGCGCAUUCUCUCUAUGCCUGACGACACCGUAAUCAUGAUCAGAGAAGAUGGAGCGAUUUAUUUCUGGUCCCUGCAGCUGAAGUUGAAAAGAAGAAAGAGAGUUUUUGACAAGUCCAUGAGUUGGAAGCCCAGGUCGAUGACAGAUGUCAUCGGCAUGCCACAGUACAACAAACUGAUCAUAGGGACUAGAAACCGUGAAAUCCAGCUAUGUGAAUUCUCCAACUGGGAGCCUUACUGUCAGAUCAGUGGCUUAGAAGGUGUUCCUCUGAAACUGGACUACUGGGAUGCAUGA
rnacentral:lncRNA from 1 species